GACGAACGCUGGCGGCGUGCUUAACACAUGCAAGUCGAACGGAGAACCCCUUCGGUGGGGAUCUGUUGCGAACGGGAGCGUAACACGAAGGCGACCUGAACCUGCCCUUGGGUUUACUCCAAGAUCUUGAAGCUAAUACUGGUAGCUCAUAGCUUCUCGUGCGGCAGGUGGUGGGAUGGAAUUCCUCGGCGGUUGGGGAUGGACUCGCGGCUUAUCAGCUUGUUGGUGGGGUAGUGGCUUACCAAGGCCUCGACGGGUAGCCGGCCUGAGAGGGUGACCGGCCACACUGGGACUGAGACACGGCCCAGACUCCUACGGGAGGCAGCAGUGGGGAAUAUUGCGCAAUGGGCGGAAGCCUGACGCAGCAACGCCGCGUGGGGGAUGACGGCCUUCGGGUUGUAAACCGCUUUCAGCAGUGACGAAGCGUGAGUGACGGUAACUGGAGAAGAAGCACCGGCCAACUACGUG
rnacentral:rRNA from 1 species